AUGUGGAGCUCCGACUCGGAGCCCGACCAUGCAGCCGGCGCCGCCGCGAUAACCACCGCAUCGUCCUCCACCUGCUCGUCCAGCCCGUCGACACCACCGCUUCCCUCCCCGACCCAGCCUCCGCCACGCCGCCACAAGAACAUUGCGGGUGUGGGUGUGGCCGCGACCGGCAGGGAGGCGGAGGCCGAGGACGUGUGGCACGGGGAUCAGUGGGAGGCGGCGUGGCCGCGGCGCGCAAAGCCGGUGGUCGUCGCCGCUGAGGAGACGGAGACGGACAGCACCGGCCCCGGGUCGUCACCUCGUGGCGGCGACGGCAUGGGCCGCGCGAGGAGCCUCACCGACGACGACCUGGCGGAGCUCAAGGGGUGCGCGGACCUGGGCUUCGGCUUCAGCUACGACGAGAUCCCGGAGCUGCGCGGGACCCUCCCCGCCCUCGAGCUCUGCUACUCCAUGAGCCAGCGGUUCGUCGACCAGCCCCAGCCACCGCAGGAGCAGGAGACGGCCGCCACGCCGACCUCCACGACGACGACCUCGCCGCCCGUUGCCAACUGGAAGAUCUCCAGCCCAGGUACGUAA
rnacentral:rRNA from 1 species